UUUUCUCACCAUUACUUGUGUAUUUGUGUGGGUAUCAAUAUUGUAACCUUCUAGAAUUAUCUGGGUUGAAAGAAAACGUGUGAGUGGGGUGAAAGGUUGAAUGAGAGAGGGAGAAUGAGCAUUCUUGAGUUUGUGAGGGUGUGAUUCUUGCAUGGUGGGUGUUCUUGAUGUAGUGUUCUUACACAAUUUGAAUAAAGGCCGGAAGAUCUGUUUGGAUAGUAGAUGUACACCAAAUUGGUGGAACCACUUUAACCUUGGUGUUGCUUCUGAUUGUUUUAUUUCUUCUCUGUUCUUAGUAAUUCGUUUCAAUUCCAGGGAUUUGUUGAUGCAUAUUUUGCAACUGACCUUGACAAGAGGAGAUCUACAUCCGGGACCAGGAAAAAGGGAAGACGAUCGGACUUGCUAACGAAAAAAAUAGACUCUAUUAUCUUGAUGAAUCUAUUGGUCUGAAUAGUGUUCCAAUCUCCUUCACCUCACAAACUCAUCAAACUUCAAGUUUAUUCAAGAAGAAACAUUGAAAAGGAUACACAAGUCCAAGAGUCUGAACAUAUAUCUGGAACUGAAAUUGACGAUAAAAGAAUCAGUGAUGAAUCAGACGUUACAAUAUCUGCUAAUGAUGUGUCAGACCUGAAUUUGCACAUUGCUUUAAGGAAGGUAAAUAUUCCAAAAACAUAUAUGGAGGCAAUACAACAUGAAGAAUGGAGGCAAGCAAUGAAUCUUGAAAUGCAGGCUUUAGAAAAAAAAAUAGAACAUGGAAGCUAGUUACUAUUGCCUAAAGAUAAGAAAGUUGUAGGAUGUUGAUGGAUAUAUACUGCGAAGUAUAGAGCAGAUGGAACACUUGAGAGGUACAAAGCACGGUUGGUUGCUAAAGGAUAUACUCAAACAUAUGGAGUUGAUUACCUUGAAACCUUUGCAUCCGUUGGCAAGAUGAACACAGACUCUUGUUGUAAAUCAUGGAUAGGACAUAUUACAAUAUGAUGUAAAAAAUGCUUUUUUGCAUGGUGAUCUUGAAGAAGAAAUUUAUAUGGAGAUUCCACCUGGGUAUGAGCAAGCAGGAAAUAAAGUUUGUAAAUUAAGAAAUACAUUGUAUGGAUUAAAGCAAUCUCCUAGGGCAUAGUUUGGUAGAUUUUCUCAAGUUAUGAGGAAGAUGAGCUAUAAAUAAAGUCAGGGAGAUCAUACAUUGUUUAUAAAAACAUUCUACUACAAGGGGAGUGACAUCACUAAUUGAGUAUGUCGACGAUAUUAUUGUCACUGGUAAUGGUAAUAAUGAACAAGAUAAAUUGAGAAAUUGUUUAAUCCAAAAGUUUGAAGUUAAAAGAACUAGGAAAGCUGAAAUAUUUUCUUGGAAUAGGACUAUUCUAAACAGGCAUAUUCCUAUCACAACAGAAAUAUGUGAUUGACUUACUUUCUAAAACAGGAAAGCUUGGCAGCAGAUCGAUGGAAAUGUCAAUUGAUCAAAACCAUAGAUUAUGUACAUCCGAAGAAAGUCCUCCAGUAAAUAAGGAAACUUACCAGAGGUUAGUUGGAAAAUUAAUAUAUCUUUCUCAUACGAGACCAGAUAUUGCGUAUGUUGUAGGACUGGUAAGUCAAUUUAUGCAUCGUCCAAAAGAAGUUUAUCUCCAAGCAAUGUACCAAAUACUUCACUAUUUGAAAAACUCCAUUGGGAGAGGAUUGUUCUUUAAGAAAUGUGAGAAACUCAAUCUAGAAGUUUAUACAGAUAGAUAUUAUGCAGGAUCGAUAGACGAUAGAAAAUUCACUUCUGGCUAUUGUACUUUCUUUGGUGGAAACUUAGUGACAUGGAGAAUUAAAAAACAAAAUGUAGUUGCAAGAUCGAGCUCAAAAGCAGAAUUUAGAGCAAUGACAUUGGACAUCUGCAAAUUAUUAUAGAUAAAAAUUAUUUUAGAAGAUUCCAUGGGAAAUGCCUAUGAAACUUUACUGUGAUAAUAAAUCUGUCAUCAGUAUUGCACAUAAUCCAGUUCAACAUGAUAGAACCAAACAUGUUGAGGUUGAUAGAGACUUCAUAAAAAAGAAGUUAGACAGCGGUCUCAUAUGUACUUCAUUUGUACCAACAAAUAAUCAAAUAGCAGAUAUCCUAACUAAAAGAUUGAACAACAACAACUUUGAGCAUUUGAUUAGCAAGCAAGGAAUGGAAAAUAUUCAUUCACCAGCUUGAGGGUGAGUGUUAAAUUAUAUUAUUUUCUUUUAAUUUCCUAUUGUAUUUAGGUUAGGUGUCCUUGUUCUAAUGGGUAAGUGUUUUCUUAUCCUAAUAGGCAAGAGUUUCUUUUCUUUUCUUCUUUGUAGCUCCUAUUUAUAAUCUUGUAUCAAUUCUUUGGAACCAAGUAAGAAAUAAUUAUUUUUCUUAUCAAUUAACAGUUUUUACUCUUUUUGGUAAUGCCAUUGGCUGGAGGUCUACACUUCAAUCUGUUGUUGCAUUGUCAACAACAAGAAUUAGAAUAUAUACCUAUAAUUGAUGGAAUUAAGGAGGUUGUUUGGUUAUCUGGUUUAGCUAGUGAUUUUCUUGGUUUUGAAGUUCUUCCAAGUGUAUAUUGUCAUAGUCAAAGUGCACUUGCUUUAACUAAAAAACAGACAUUGAACUAAACAUAUUGAUAUAAAGUAUUAUUAUGUUAGAGAAGUUGUAUAUGCUAAACAGGUUAUGUCGAAGAAAAUUCAAUCUGUGGACAACCCUGCUGAUAUGUUUACGAAAUCAUUGCCUAAUGUAAGGAUGUUGUAUUUGUGCAGCCUAUUAAAAAUACGUGUUGGCUGAGGUAUUAUUUGUGUAUUAAAUCCAUUACAGAUUUUAUGAGCUUUUUCUGGUUUUGUAGUUGCUGAAGUGUUGAGGGUGAUUUGUGGAUAUUUGACACGUCAUCAAUUACAUGGGUCAUUCAUAAUGCAAGAGUUCCAGCUCAGGAUUAUUCUCCGAUUCAUUUAUUUUUUAGUCUAGCUCACCUUUUCUCACCAUUACUUGUGUAUUUGCGUGGGUAUCAAUGUUGUAACCUUCUAGAAUUAUGUGGGUUGAGAGAAAACGUGUGAGUGGUGUGAAGGGUUGAAUGAGAGAAGGAGAAUGAGCAUUCUUGAGUUUGUGAGGGUGUGAUUCUUGCAUGGUGGGUGUUCUUGAUGUAGUGUUCUUACACAAUUUGAAUAAAGGACUAAAGAUCUGUUUGGAUUA